AGGACGAACGCUGGCGGCGUGCUUAACACAUGCAAGUCGAGCGAAGCUCCUGCCUUCGGGUGGGAUGACUUAGCGGCGAACGGGUGAGUAACACGUGGGCAACCUGCCCUUAGCUCUGGGAUAAGCGAUGGAAACGUCGUCUAAUACUGGAUAUGACACUGGGACGCAUGUUCUUGGUGUGGAAGAUUUUUUGGCUAAGGAUGGGCCCGCGGCCUAUCAGCUUGUUGGUGGGGUAAUGGCCUACCAAGGCGGCGAC
rnacentral:rRNA from 1 species